rnacentral:rRNA from 1 species
GAUGAACGCUAGCUACAGGCUUAACACAUGCAAGUCGAGGGGCAUCAGGAAGAAAGCUUGCUUUCUUUGCUGGCGACCGGCGCACGGGUGAGUAACACGUAUCCAACCUGCCCUUUACUCGGGGAUAGCCUUUCGAAAGAAAGAUUAAUACCCGAUAGCAUAAUGAUUCCGCAUGGUUUCAUUAUUAAAGGAUUCCGGUAAAGGAUGGGGAUGCGUUCCAUUAGGUUGUUGGUGAGGUAACGGCUCACCAAGCCUUCGAUGGAUAGGGGUUCUGAGAGGAAGGUCCCCCACAUUGGAACUGAGACACGGUCCAAACUCCUACGGGAGGCAGCAGUGAGGAAUAUUGGUCAAUGGGCGUUAGCCUGAACCAGCCAAGUAGCGUGAAGGAUGAAGGCUCUAUGGGUCGUAAACUUCUUUUAUAUAAGAAUAAAGUGCAGUAUGUAUACUGUUUUGUAUGUAUUAUAUGAAUAAGGAUCGGCUAACUCCGUGCCAGCAGCCGCGGUAAUACGGAGGAUCCGAGCGUUAUCCGGAUUUAUUGGGUUUAAAGGGAGCGUAGGUGGACUGGUAAGUCAGUUGUGAAAGUUUGCGGCUCAACCGUAAAAUUGCAGUUGAUACUGUCAGUCUUGAGUACAGUAGAGGUGGGCGGAAUUCGUGGUGUAGCGGUGAAAUGCUUAGAUAUCACGAAGAACUCCGAUUGCGAAGGCAGCUCAC